ACCUGGCUGGCUCCGCUGGUAGAGUGUGAGACUCUGGAUCUCAGGGUUGUGAGUUCAAGCCCCACACUGGGUG
rnacentral:tRNA from 2 species